GAUCGGCUUUAGGGGUAUUCUGAAAAGAAUUGAGAGAGUCCCUUUGAACCUGAUCCGGUUGAUACUGGCGUAGGGAAAAGCGUUUGCUAUAUU
rnacentral:ncRNA from 2 species